UAAUGAUGGAUUAUUUAGAUUCUGGAACCGAAUUUGGGUCCCCGACACAGUACGCACAAAUGUACUCAAAACUGCCCAUGCUUUCAGUUGUUCAUUCUUCCCGGAAGUACCAAGAUUAUCGAAACUUGAAACGAUAAUAUUGGUGGCCAGGAAUAGAGAAGGAUAUAGUUGACUACGUCUCCCAAUGCCUUAUUUAUAACGGAUAAAGGUAGAAUAUUAAACACCAAGUGGCUUACUAC
rnacentral:lncRNA from 1 species